rnacentral:rRNA from 1 species
UACGUAGGGGGCAAGCGUUGUCCGGAAUCAUUGGGCGUAAAGAGCGUGUAGGCGGCCCGAUAAGUCCGCUCUGAAAGCCCGGGGCUCAACCCCGGGAGGCGGGCGGAUACUGUCGGGCUAGAGUCCGGAAGAGGCAAGUGGAAUUCCUGGUGUAGCGGUGAAAUGCGCAGAUAUCAGGAGGAACACCGAUGGCGAAGGCAGCUUGCUGGGACGGUACUGACGCUGAGACGCGAAAGCGUGGGGAGCAAACAGG